CCUACGGGGGGCUGCAGUGGGGAAUAUUGGACAAUGGGGGCAACCCUGAUCCAGCCAUGCCGCGUGUGUGAAGAAGGCCCUCGGGUUGUAAAGCACUUUCAGUGAGGAAGAACGCCUGGUGGUUAAUACCCAUCAGGAAAGACAUCACUCACAGAAGAAGCACCGGCUAACUCCGUGCCAGCAGCCGCGGUAAUACGGAGGGUGCGAGCGUUAAUCGGAAUUACUGGGCGUAAAGCGCGCGUAGGUGGCUUGAUAAGCCGGUUGUGAAAGCCCCGGGCUCAACCUGGGAACGGCAUCCGGAACUGUCAAGCUAGAGUGCAGGAGAGGAAGGUAGAAUUCCCGGUAUAGCGGUGAAAUGCGUAGAGAUCGGGAGGAAUACCAGUGGCGAAGGCGGCCUUCUGGACUGACACUGACACUGAGGUGCGAAAGCGUGGGUAGCAAACAGGAUUAGAUACCCCUGUAGUC
rnacentral:rRNA from 1 species